rnacentral:rRNA from 1 species
UACGUAGGAGACGAGCGUUGUCCGGAGUUACUGGGCGUAAAGGGUGCGCAGGCGGUUCGUUGCGUGGGUGGUGAAAUCUCCUGGCUCAACUGGGAGGGGGCCAUCCAAACGGGCGGACUUGAGGCGUGGAGAGGGACGUGGAAUUCCGGGUGGAGCGGUGAAAUGCGUAGAGAUCCGGAGGAACACCGACGGCGAAGGCAGCGUCCUGGCCACGACCUGACGCUCAGGCACGAAAGCUGGGGGAG